rnacentral:misc_RNA from 1 species
UGGCCGGGGCCAGGAGUGUCGAGCAUGGCAUCCUCUUGGGCUGCCAAAUACUACAUCCAACACCUGCCGUGGUUCGAUAGACAAAUUCAGAGUUUUAGCUUACAAAAUACGGAAAAUAGCAGAAAAUUCCGAAUAAAUGAGCGAAACAGAUAAGAUCGACCGGAAAAUCCUCGAAAUCCUGCAGUCUGACGGGCGCAUUGCCAAUGUCGAACUGGCGGAGCGCAUCGGCCUGUCGCCGACCUCCAUUGGGGAGCGGUUGAAGCGGCUGCAACGCGACGGCUUCAUUGA